rnacentral:rRNA from 1 species
UGCUUCCAUCUGGAAGAAUCUGGAGACAGGUGCUGCAUGGCUGUCGUCAGCUCGUGUCGUGAGAUGUUGGGUUAAGUCCCGCAACGAGCGCAACCCUUGCCUUUAGUUGCCAGCAGUUCGGCUGGGCACUCUAAAGGGACUGCCGGUGUUAAACCGGAGGAAGGUGGGGAUGACGUCAAGUCCUCAUGGCCUUUAUGACCAGGGCUACACACGUACUACAAUGGCCGAUACAAAGGGCAGCGACACUGCGAGGUGAAGCCAAUCCCGUAAAAUACGGUCUCAGUCCGGAUUGGAGUCUGCAACUCGACUCCAUGAAGUUGGAAUCGCUAGUAAUCGUGGAUCAGCAUGCCACGGUGAGUACGUUCCCGGGCCUU